rnacentral:rRNA from 1 species
AGUGAACGCUGGCGGCGUGCUUAAUACAUGCGAGUCGAACGAUGAAGUCCUAGCUUGCUAGGAUGGAUUAGUGGCGCACGGGUGAGUAAUAUAUAGUUAAUCUGCCUUGCACUGAGGAACAACAGUUGGAAACGAUUGCUAAUACCUCAUACUCCAACUUUACAUAAGUUAAGUUGGGAAAGUCUUUUCGGUGCAAGAUGAGACUAUAUCGUAUCAGCUAGUUGGUAAGGUAAUGGCUUACCAAGGCUAUGACGCGUAACUGGUCUGAGAGGAUGAUCAGUCACAUUGGAACGGAGACACGGUCCAAACUCCUACGGGAGGCAGCAGUAAGGAAUAUUGAGCAAUGGGGGAAACCCUGACGCAGCAACGCCGCGUGGAGGAUGACACUUUUCGGAGCGUAAACUCCUUUUGUUAGGGAAGAAUAAUGACGGUACCUAACGAAUAAGCACCGGCUAACUCCGUG